rnacentral:rRNA from 1 species
GACGAACGCUGGCGGCGUGCUUAACACAUGCAAGUCGAACGGAAAGGCCCUGCUUUUGUGGGGUGCUCGAGUGGCGAACGGGUGAGUAACACGUGAGUAACCUGCCCUUGACUUUGGGGUAACUUCAGGAAACUGGGGCUAAUACCGGAUAGGAGCUCCUGCUGCAUGGUGGGGGUUGGAAAGUUUCGGCGGUUGGGGAUGGACUCGCGGCUUAUCAGCUUGUUGGUGGGGUAGUGGCUUACCAAGGCUUUGACGGGUAGCCGGCCUGAGAGGGUGACCGGCCAAAUUGGGACUGAGAUAAGGCCCAGACUCCUCCGGGAGGCAGAAGUGGGGAAUAUUGCACAAUGGGCGGAAGCCUGAUGCAGCAAAGCCGCGUGCGGGAUGACGGCCUUCGGGUUGUAAACCGCUUUCGCCUGUGACGAAGCGUGAGUGACGGUAAUGGGUAAAGAAGCACCGGCUAACUACGUG